CAAAGAGGCUCCACCAGCCAGUUCCUCCAGCAGCAGGGAGGCCAGUUAUGACGUCUACCCUCUGUGGUCUUCCUCCAGGCCAGCACUCCCUCUGGCCUCCACAGCACCUUGCACAGGCCGCCACAUGUAUAGCUGCUGUGGCAAGUGGACCUCCUGGUGGCUUGGCCUGAGUAGCAGAGCCAUCAGUGUUGCCUGGAUGCCCAUGAUUGCAAAGCAACUCUGUUAUACCUGCUGUGGUGCAGUGUGGGAUAUUACCUAUGUCCCCUGCUUUCCUGUGUGUCAACCAAUGGAGUGCUGCUGCUUUGGUGUGUGGGAGUUGCCAUUCUAAAGAAUUGGCUCAGGAGCUAUCCCAAGCUGGUGGACCAGUGACAGGAGACAGCUGAGGCACAACAGAAGGAAGACACCAACCAGUCUAGAUAUGGAGGGAUGGGUGAUGCGGGAUGGAGGCAUGUGAGGAGCCUCACUGUUCGCCCCAGAGGAAAGAGAAGAAGUGCUGGAGGAGAGGGAGGUCUUGCCACCACCUCCUCGAGCUGCUGCUGCUGCCAGCCGUCGUCGUAGUUUGGGCAU